rnacentral:misc_RNA from 1 species
AAGGAACACUAAUUUUUAAGUUGAUUAAAUUAAUGCUUAUCAAUAAAUUGAUUAACUUAAUAUGAAGUUAUUAUGUAGAUGGAUAAAGCUACAAAUAGUGCGUCCCAACAAAGGACUUCAUUGGAGGAAUAAAAAAAAAUAACAAAUCGAUUAAAGGACUUUUACCCACAUGCUUUUAAUAUUGGGGUUAUUUUUGUCAAACAAUAAAAAAAAUGGCGUAACAGUUCAUGAAUUGCUCUAUUUGUAGAGCCAAUAAAAAAGGCAGUUGGUAUUUUAUCAGCUAUUAGCUGCCUUUUUAAAGAGUUAAUCAAACAGAUUGGUUCAGCUGAUUGGAUGUCCAUGAGCUAUCAGCUGCAUCCAAUAGCUAAAUCAAACACCCCCAAAAGAAAGAUGAAGGAAAACAAAUUAUGAUGGAAUUUGCAGAGUAAUUAAGGCGCCGUGAACAAAAACCAUGAAGAGUAAGUAAAUGUUUUUGGCCUCACACCUAAACUUCCUUACGCAUUAUGCAUGAGUUUCCAUUAGCAUCAUGCUUAGGAUUGAAUUACGUAACACAAUCCAAGAACAACAAUUGCAAGAAAUUUUUAUUGACUGAUACUAAGCAAUAAGCAUUACAAGCAUUGAUAU